rnacentral:tRNA from 1 species
GCGUGGAUGCCAGAGUCUGGUCAAUUGGAACGGAUUGCAAAUCCGUAAAGUCGUGGGUUCAAAUCCCUCUCCACGCUC